CUACGGGCGGCAGCAGUGGGGAAUAUUGGGCAAUGGGCGAAAGCCUGACCCAGCAACGCCGCGUGAUUGAAGAAGGCUUUCGGGUUGUAAAAAUCUGUCCUUGGGGACGAAGAAGUGACGGUACCCAAGGAGGAAGCCCCGGCUAACUACGUGCCAGCAGCCGCGGUAAUACGUAGGGGGCGAGCGUUGUCCGGAAUUACUGGGCGUAAAGGGUGCGCAGGCGGCGCUUUAAGUCAGAUGUGAAAUACCCAUACUUAACGUGGGGGGUGCAUUUGAAACUGGAGCGCUUGAGUGCAGGAGAGGAAAGUGGAAUUCCUAGUGUAGCGGUGAAAUGCGUAGAUAUUAGGAGGAACACCAGUGGCGAAGGCGACUUUCUGGACUGUAACUGACGCUGAGGCACGAAAGCGUGGGGAGCAAACAGGAUUAGAUACCCCCGUAGUC
rnacentral:rRNA from 1 species